rnacentral:lncRNA from 1 species
UUGACUGGAAAACAUCCCCCUAAAGGUUUUGACUUGGCUUUAGCCUAGAAGGAUGAACAAAGUGACAAGAUCCUUUAGGAGAUAGGGGUGCCCUCUUGUGGUUGUAAUUGCAUAUUUGGUCCUCAUGUGCUGCUUUGUGCUGCAAAGAUGACAUGAUUUUGCCUUGCACACUGAGAGUAGGUAUGAAUCCUGAAGAGCAAUCAUUUCAGGGCUUGCCUCUGUUGUAGUGAUUUGCCCGAGAAGGAAAACAUGUAGCACAGUAAUUUCAUGAUUGAAAUGUUACAUCACCUGAGGUAGCAUAAGAUUCUUCUAACUUGAUUUUGUCUGGUUUAUUACAGUUAUAUAUUUGCACUAACAGCCUUGAAUAGGACAUUCCAGGAGUGACUUGGCAAACACUUGUACCUUUUCGAGGCAUUUGUAAACUACUGAAUCGCUGAGCUCUUGCCCAUCUUGUGCUGUACCUGUGCCACCACUCCGGAACAUGAGUGUAUAUAGUCUGAAUUGUGUGGAAGGUAUUUUAUAUUAGAACUUUCAGAAGCUGGUAGAAAUUGACUUGCCACUUGUUCCAUGGUAAUGUGUCUAAUGCAAUCACUUCAUUUCUCCUCUCUCCCGACACCUACUAUGUUUUUGUAUAUCAAUUAAGCAGUUUUGAUUGUUGUGGUUGCUGGCUUUUGGAGUGGCUGGAUGCUAAAGAUGAGGAUUUACCUCUCUGAGGAGGGGAUAUUGGUAUCAGUGCUUUAAUUUCUGUUAAGGGGGCAAUUUUUGACUUUUUGACUCUUUCCUCAUGAUUUCUCGGUCAAAGUAUUUGUAUUCGCCUGUUCUCUAAUCCAAAAAAAGAAAGAAAUAGAAUUCCUUAAUUCCUCUCUUUUCUCUUUUUUUCUUCUUCUUUUGGUGGCUAAGCAAAGUGCUAUUUGUUGAAUCGCGUAUGUUGGGGACAUUGGUUGGGUGCUAUCAAAUCUUUGGUAAUCACAACGCGGUAUGCUAAAUGAUGGUAAUCAUAAAAAAAAAGAUGAGACUGGGCAAAAUGAUGUUACUUAAAUAUGACAUCGCUAUAUAGUAAAAUUUAUCGUAUUAGUGUAGUUUUGUUAACAAACCUUAAACUACGUAUUAUAAAUUUGGACUGCUAUUCUUAAAUAAUAUGAAUAUUUCUAUAUUCAAUUUUCAACGCUUGACCUUUCCGAAAAUCGUAAGGCGAUACACAUAGAACGAAAAUCAUCUCAAGUUUUAGAAAGUCCAUCAUUUCCUUCUUCCUUCUCUAUCACCCAAUCUCUUUUUUUCUCCCCUUUUUUUGCUGGAAUACCCAUUUUCAACAUAGAGCUCUUAUAUGUAUACCAUUUACUUAAAUAAUUUAAGAAAAAAAUUGAUGAAUAUGUUAAAUAAAUAAUAAUAAAUUAAUUUGAUUGACAAAAUUCAUGUUAAAACUUAAUAUAUAAUUUAAUAAAUUUAAACUCUUGAAAGUUGUGAUCUAAAUUUUGUAGACUAACAAUAUAAGUAAAUGUUUUUAAAUAUGAUGUGUAAGUUGUAACUGAGAAAUCGAUUCAAAGUUAAGGGUACUUAUGCCUUUUCAUCCAUCUCAUGAACCGAACGUCCAUAUUUAUGAGCUUUUGCACUAUGCACAUGCAUGUACACCAGAACAUUUCUCCACCCCACACACCCACAGGAAAAAGGCAGAAGAGGAUUUGACUUCGUUUGAUUGAGAGAAGAAAAAUAUUUAAAAUUUAAAAAUAAAAAGAAAAAAAGGUAAAGAAAGAAAGAGUGAAGGAAAGAGAAAUAUUCAAUCUGAUUGAAUGCAGUUUUGACGUCCGCAAGAACUCUCUCUCUAACUUUCUCGCUCUAAAGAGGACAGCGCAGAAACUCAGAGAAAACUCUUCUCUCUUUCUCUCUACUGAAACUUCUUCACUUUGACAAAGCAAAGUCCCCAAGCUAAUUUGAGCUGUGGAUCUUGUUCUUUGCACUUUAUUGCGCGAUUUAGGGCUCGAUCAAGUGAACAUGUAAUUUAUUAAUCACUUGUUUUUAUUUUUCUACUCUCGAAUUAUUUACUGUACCGAGCUUCGUUUUUUAGAGGAUUUUUUUUUUCGUCUUUUUAUUUCUCAGUUUUCUGAUUUUCUUUCUUGUUUAAGUUUUCGUGUAUUCUCCACUUAUAGCUGCUUUAUUUGAUUAGUGAUUGAGUAUGAAUUUUUUUUUUUUUGAUUUUUCUUACUGUGUUGAGAUUUGGGUUUAGCUAUGUUUUUAUGGAAGCAAGGGAGAAAUUUGACACAAUAAAACAAUUUUUUAUUUUUUUGUUUUUUUUCUUGCAGGGAUAAGUGGAUAGAGAUAUUUAUUUGAGCAGAAAAAGAGAAGCUUUGGAAGUUUAAGAGUUAAAGCUUGUAGCUUGUACUUGGUAUUCUAUUGAUGAUGCACAACAGGUUUUCUCAGCAUGAAGGUUCUCCCUUUGGUUUGGCUCAAAAUAGGGACUUUGGAAUGUCAAUUGAUGUAGUAGGUUCUGCUUGUUGUUCUGUGUAAUUCUCUUUUUCAGAGUAAAGUAUGAAGUCUCCAGAUCUGGGGUGUUAGGCUUCAUUCCGUUUUAGUUUUCUAUAAUUUGUUAAGUGUUUGUAGAUUGUUAUCUAUUGCAUAAAAGAUAUGGUGCCACCAGGACCUCCUAAUCCACUUGGAGGUGCCCAGCCUGUCCCGUCUUCGUUAUUGCGAUCAAAUUCUAGUUUAUUGGGUGGUCAAGGGGGUGGAAUGCCUACCCCAGGUGGUUUCCCUUCUAUUGUGUCACCUCGGACUCAGUUUGGUAACAUGAAUAUGCUAGGAAAUGCUCCAAAUGCUUCGUCUCUGCUCCAUCAGUCCUUAGGAAAUGGUGGUCAUAAUUCAGGGCGAGCUGAUAAUGGGGCCGAGUCUGAUCCAAUGGCCAGUGCUGGCAAUGGUAUGGGAUUUAAUGCUCCUUCAACAUCGUUUAGCUCAUCGGGCAUGGCAGCAAAUCCAAAUUCAGGUCAAGUUCAGGGACAGCGGUUUCCCAGCCAUUCUGGUAACCAGAUGUUAACUGAGCAGUCACCGUCCCAACAGCUUGAUUCCCAGAACUACCAACAUAAUCAACAAUUUCAGCAAUUUUCUGCCCCUAGCAAUUCCCAAACACAACAACAGCAGCAGCAAUUUCAAUCCAUACGAGGUGGAUUAGGAGGUGUAGGACCUGUCAAACAGGAGCCCCAAGUGACCAAUGAUCAAACACCACAGCAGUUGCAAGCACUACGAAACCUGACGACUGUAAAGCAGGAGCCCCAACAGAUACAAAGUAUGAGAGGCCUUGCCACUGUGAAGAUGGAGUCACAACAUUCCUCACCCUCUUUGUUUCUACAUCAGCAACAGCAGCAGCAGCAACAACAGCAAUUACUUCACAUGUCCAAACAGUCCCCUCAAGCUGCAGCAGCAGCUCAGCUUUUCCACCAGCAGAGGCUUAUGCAGCUCCAGCAGCAACAACAGCAACAACAGCAACAGCAACUCUUGAAGGCUAUUCCUCAGCAGAGAAACCCACUUCAACCGCAAUUUCAACCACAGAAUCAUGCUAUAAGGUCUCCUGUAAAACCAGCUUAUGAGCCUGGGAUGUGUGCCCGUCGGCUGACUCAUUAUUUGUAUCAGCAGCAACACAGACCUGAAGUGAGAAAACUGUGCCAACUAUAAUUUCUGUGUGGCCCAUAACACUCUGCACCCUACCACACAGCUUCUCUGAUCUUAGUUUAUUAUUUUUUUUGACUAAGCCCUAUGAUGUUACAUUUGCACUACCUUUUUUAUAGGACAAUAACAUAGAGUUCUGGAGAAAAUUUGUCGCCGAGUAUUUUGCUCCAAAUGCCAAGAAAAAGUGGUGCGUCUCUAUGUAUGGAAGUGGCCGGCAGACCACUGGAGUUUUUCCUCAGGUUGGUUGUGUUAUUGGUUUUUCUUAAUCAAAUUUGAGAAAUCUUCUUAUUUAGUGAAAAUAUGUUGUUAUAGUAAGUCAAAUACCUCUUAUACGGUUUGCCGUUAUGAAAAAAUAGAUUCUUUUUUCAGCUCUGGUAACUAAUUUGGACUUGUUCCUAAAAUGUUAUGCAGUUUUAUGCAGACCAACUUUUUCCUUGUGUAGAAAAUUAGAAGUAAUCACUAUCAUAUAAUUUGCAGGAUGUAUGGCACUGUGAAAUAUGCAACCGCAAGCCAGGCCGUGGUUUUGGUAUGUUUCUUUUGGUUUGAUAUCUUUUCUGUUGUCGAAGAUUCAUUCUUCUUUGUAACUUUACAAAUCCAUUAUUGUUGACUUGUAAUUUCUGCACCCAUUUGGUUAUCCUUUCACCGUGUAAUCCUUAUUGGGGUCUGAUGUUUCUCAACUUAUUCAUUCAGAAGCGACCGCUGAAGUCUUGCCCAGGCUUUUCAAGAUAAAAUAUGAAAGUGGGACCUUGGAAGAGCUACUCUAUAUUGAUAUGCCUCGUGAAUAUCAGAAUUCAUCUGGACAAAUUGUCCUAGACUAUGCAAAAGCAAUUCAGGAGAGUGUUUUUGAGCAACUUCGCGUUGUACGUGAUGGUCAGCUUCGAAUAGUGUUUUCACAGCCUGAUCUAAAGGUUAAUUGAAGAGCCAUUUUGGUUUCAAUAACCAUAGUUGUUAAUCAGUUAUUAAGACAUAGCACGAUGCUGAUUAAUGUCUAUUAUUUUCUUUUAUCUGAUUUCCUUUUCGUCAACUUGGCAGAUCAUCUCUUGGGAAUUUUGUGCUCGACGUCAUGAGGAGCUAAUCCCUAGAAGAUUGUUGAUACCUCAGGUUGAUCAAUGUUGCUUUGAAGUACUAAUUUACCUUGAUCUCUGUGUAGUCAUGGUUUAGCUCUAACCUGACUUGUGUGCUUCUGUUUGCUAAUCUGGUUUAGCAAAAACUCUUUCUUUCUUUCCUUUAUAAUUUAUAUUAGAGCAGAUGCAUGUUGUCUAGCUAAGCAGCUAUUUGCUACUCAAAUGAGGUCUUUAUUUGUUAACGUCCCUUCUAGAUAUAUUUGAUGGGAAGGAUAGCAGUGCAUUGGGUAGUAGUGUUAGCCCUUGCCCCUGGUUAAGGGUUUGCUGAUGCUAUAGUAUCGCAACAGUGUAGAUGGGUGGCGGAAAAAAUUAAAUUGCUGUUUCAGCUGUUGGCAAUGAUAACCAAGGCCACUGGAGCCUGAAUUUUGGUGCUUUAAGUUCUGUGUCCGGAGGAAAUUUGUGCUUCUUCAUGCUGAUAUAUCUUUGUAAAGUUUCCUCAUAUUUGUGUUUCCUGUCCUUCUGUGAGCUUUAACUUCUAUAUUGGUUUCUCACAUCUUUUUGGCUAAUUGUUUGUCUUGUCUGGAUAAAGCUCCAUCUUUAAUUUUUUUUUGGAUAUAGUGAUUUUUGCAUCCUUUUGAUUUGCUUUUAUGAUUUUCACGCGUAGGUGAGUCAACUCGGCGCUGCAGCUCAAAAGUACCAGGCAGCAACCCAAAAUGGAUCAUCUACUGCAUCUGUUUCUGAGUUGCAGAAUAACUGCAAUAUGUGAGUCCCUGAAAUUUAUGGUACAGUUUUUGUACGGAAUUCUCAGGCUGACAAUAUUGUGCUGUGUCUUUGUGUAAUGAAGCAUAACUAUUUUCAUUUAGCACAUAUAUUUCACUGUAUGUUGUAAAGUUAUUUUCUUGGUGAUUCAUUAUGGAUUCCAGUUUUUACGUGGGUGAUAAUGAUGAGCCAUGUCUCACAUGUUAGAUAGCUUUUAAUCUAUUUAUUUUUUGGGUAUUGGCUUCUUUGAUGAUCUGUGCUGGUACUUCUAUUUUACAAAUCAUUAUUAGCAGACUUAAGUUGGGACUGUGGAUGCUAAGGUUGUGAUCUUUGACCAGUCAGUCAUCCUAUGGUUUUAACUCAUAGUGAGUUUGCUGUGAAAUAAUUUUUUAUUUGUGUUAGUUGUGUGUACGUCUGUUAGUAGAUUUAGCUCAAAUUUUAAUGUUAUGGAUUGCUGUUAGUGGUCGUGCUGCCAACUCUUGGAAGCUCAAUUUCUCCUGAAACUAUAAAUAUGGAUGUCUAGUUGAUACCUGCGGUUUGUUAUAUUUGGAUGAAGACCUGAAUUACAGUUGUGUUUGAUUGUUAAAAUGUCUUUAUUAACUAACAUGAGCGUCUUGUUGGGUUCUGAAAGCUCAACUUUCCAUUUCCUGAGACAGUGUACAAUGGAGCAGUUCAGGGUCUGUGAUGUGUUGGAUCUUCCAAUAAAUAAUGAGGAUUAAAUAUAAAACGACUCGUGUUGUUUGUAUCUUUUUUUUUUUGUGUGUGUGUGGAGGAUGAAACACAUCUUCUUCUUGUUGUUGUUCAGUGACUGUACAAUGGAGCUACAUAUAUUUGGGAGCUAUAUGUAACACAUCUUGUUCAGUGACUGUGUACUAGUGCGAGAAGGGGAAGAAUGAGGGGGGGAAACACAUCUUGUUCAGUGACUGUGUACUAGUGCGAGAAGGGGAAGAAUGAGGGGAAGGUAUAUACAUGCAUACCCUUUUAUGUCAAUCUAUCAACAACUAUGACCUAAUCCCAAAAAGAAGGUUGGCUUAGUCUUACGAAUCCAAAUCCUCUGUAACCAUUCAACUCUAUUAAUAAUCUGCUUAUAAAUAAUUUUCUUUUAAUGCAAAUUAGGAUUUCUCUAAAUCUUGAGGUUAUUUACUCACAAUUUUUCUUGUAUUGGAAUACCUCUCUAACUAGACUAAAAGAUUACUGGCAAACAUCAGAAUUAAUGUGAGUGUAAUAAUAAUACCUAAACUAUAAUCCUAACUUGUCGGUGUCACCUAUUUGGAUAAUUUGCUUUCAGUAUGUUCUGUCCUAGUUAAGUCAGCAUUGAUUCGAGAAAUGAUAAUCUUCUGGCAACAACUCCUCUCCAUAUGAUUUUGGGUCGACUGCCCCUUUAGCACCUUCAAUCGUAAUAAAAAAACAAUCUAUAUAUAAGGUGUAAAAUUAUGUGUACAUAUUCUUGUAUUCUAGAAAAUUGUUUUAUGCUUUGCGUAUUUGCUGAUGAUCAUGUAUUUUUUUAUAUAGCUUUUAAUUUUAAGUAAUAUCACUUUUGAGAUUUGACUUAUGAUUUUGACUCAGGUUUGUUGCCUCAGCUCGUCAGUUGGCAAAAGCUUUGGAAGUUCCAUUGGUAAAUGAUCUAGGUUAUACAAAGAGAUAUGUGCGAUGCCUUCAGGUAUGCACCUUGUUCUGAUGCUGGAAGGUUUUUAUUUUGGCCCUUUUCUGGAAUUUGGAGACAUUCCGCUUGUAUCAAUGUGGAUAUCACUACAAAUUCUUGAAAUAUUUGCUUCUGUUAGUGCUUUUAACUUCCCGACCAGGUCAUGGUUUGCCUGUUCUGUGCGUGAUAUCUGACUCAACCAGUUCUAUCCAACUUUCUUAUCCUCUCCGGCCCCCCUCUCCUUUUAAUCUGUCAUCUUCCCGUGGAAUUCAAAGCAAAGCUGAAAAUGAAGGUCGAAAUUCAGAUUUCUAGCAUGUAGCAGCUCAGACAACCAAGAGGUUGUGAGUUCGAGUCACCCAAGAGCAGGGUAGGGAGUUAUUGGAGGGAGGGAGCCGAGGGUCUAUCGGAAACAGCCUCUCUACCCACCCCAGGGUAGGGCUAAGGUCUGCACAAACUACCCUCCCCAGACCCCACUAGUGGGAUUAUACUAGGUUGUUGUUGUAAUAUUGGAAAUUCCUACUGGUAAAUCUGACUCAUGAGUUAAUGUGUGAAGUAGACGGAAUGUAUUUUGGCCUAUUCUUGGGAUAGAGAUUUCUGAUGUAACUCUGUUCCUGUUGAGAAACGUUUUCUUUCUCACUUUUCAGAGGUUACCCUAUUUCCACAAUUUUAUUUCAUUGUGUCAUAAAGGGUCUAGUGGUACAAGAUAACUUCCAGUUCAGCAAUUUUCCCCCUUUUUACUUUCCAAGUGUUUAUCACGUAGGCCUAGACUUUUUUCCAGUGACAUUUUCACUAUAAAGAUAAACUGACUGAAAAUUGCAUACGUGGUGCAUUCAAAUGAUAAUUCUUCUGAUUUUGUUUUAAUCUUCCUUUCAAUUAACAGUCUCAUGGGAUAUAAUUUCUUAUUCUGCUAUGUACUGCUGGUGCAAUUGCAGAUAUCAGAAGUUGUUAAUAGCAUGAAGGAUUUGAUUGACUACAGCAGAGAGACAAGGACAGGGCCUAUGGGUAAGUCUGCUUGUGUACCUUUCUACUUGUUCCUGAUGCUAGCUCAAGGUUUUCUAUACCUACCUAUUAAUCUCAAAGAUCAAAGUGAGGUUGCAUGGGCUAAUCUUUCUGUGGUUUGAUGGUUUAGAGAUUAGGAUACGAUCGGUUUUCAUCACAAGGCAUAAAUGUUAUCAUCUAAAGUUAAAUUUUCACAAAAGACGAUGAAUUGCUUUUUGAGGUGGCAACUGGUAACUAAUAAUGUACAGGUGAAAAAACCCAAACUGGCUGUGUUUGAAUGCAGAUUUCAUUCUAUGUGCCUUUAAGUUGUCAGAGGUAAAAUACUGAUUCAAAGAAAAAAAAAUGAACUUCUCGAAUAUAUAUAAAAUAAUGGGUUGUGUAGUGUAAGAAGUUAACCCUGAGAGUACCGCAUGAAUGUUGGGAUUGAUACAGUUCUUUAAACCUUACAAUUGUGCUUGAAAUUUGGCCUUUCCAGAGAGCUUGGCUAAGUUUCCUCGUAGGAAUGGUUCAUCGGUUGGGGUACAUGAUCCAGCUCAACCAUCUGAGGAUCAGUCUCAGUCUCAGCAGCAGCAGCUACAGUCUCAGCAGCAGCAGCCACAGUCUCAACAGCAACAGCAACAGCAACAGCAACAACAGACGGCCAGUCAGAACUCAAACCACGACAGCUCUGUCCAGGCUGGUGCAAUGCAACUUGCUUCCAGUAAUGGGAUUCCAAGUGUAAACAACUCUUUGAACCCAGCAUCUGUUACUUCCUCUAGUAGUUCUGUUGUUCGGCUAUUGCAUCAAAAUUCCAUGAACUCUAGGCAACAGACCCCAAUGAAUGGUGUGAACAGCCCUUAUGCAGGAAAUGGCUUGAAUAGCCCCUAUGCGGGAAAUGCUGUUCAAAUGCCUUCACCAAGUUCUUCAAAUACGAUGCCACAAUCUCAACCAAAUCCGUCUACGUUCCAAUCCCCAACACCGUGUUCAUCAAGCAAUCCACCACAAACUUCUCAUGGUGGCUUAUCAUCAGGACCACACGUGAAUUCUGCCAAUUCCCCGAAUAUUUCAGUGCAUCAACCCACUCUUUCAGGUGAUAUUGAUGCUAAUGACUCUCAAAGUUCUGUACAAAAGAUCAUACAUGAAAUGAUGAUGUCUUCCCAACUUGGUGGAGGUGGCCUUGUAGGUGGUGGUACCAUGAAUGAUAUGAAAAGUGUAAAUGGUAUGAUAGCAACUGCUAAUAAUUCCAUUCUUAAUGGAAGCAGCUGCCUUGUUGGGAAUGGGACAGCAAAUGCUAAUAUAGGUAUGGGUCCAGGAUAUGGCAACAUGGGCAACGGACUGAGCCAGGCUGCAAUGGCCAAUGGAAUUCGGGCUGCAUUAGGUAAUAAUUCCGUGGCUAUGAAUGGAAGAGUAGGCAUGCCAAUGUCACGAGAGCAAAGUAUGAGUCAACAGCAACAAGAUUUGGGAAACCAAUUACUUAGUGGUCUAGGAGCAGUCAAUGGUUUCAAUAACCUUCAGUUUGACUGGAAAACAUCUCCCUAAAGGUUUCGACUUUGCUGUAGCUAAGAAGGUAUGAACAAGGUGACAAAAUCCUUCUUGUGGAUGUAAUUGCUUAUUUGGUCCUCAUGCCACUGCUUUGUGCUACAAAGUUAACGUGAGUUUGCCUUGCAAGCUGGGAGCAGAUAUGGUUCCUGAAGAGAUCAUUUCAGGGCUUGCUUCCGUUGUACUGAUUUGCGAGAGAAGCAAAAUAUGUAGCACAGUAAUUUCAAGGUUGAAAUGUUACAUCACCUGAGGUCGCAUAGAUUCUUCUAACUUGAUUUUGUCUGGUUUAUCACAGCUACAUAUUUGCACUAAUAGCCUUGAAUAGGACAUUCCAGGAGUGACUUGGCGAACACUUGUACCCUUUCAAGGCAUUUGUAAACUACCGAUUCUGAUGAGAGCUUGCCCAUCUUGUGCUGUACCUCUGUCACCACUCCGGAACAUGAGUGUAUAUAGUCUGGAUUGUGGGAGGAAUUUUUAUUAUAGAACUUUCAGGAGCUGGUAGAAUUGACUUACCGCUUGUUCCAUGGGUAAUGUGUCUAAUGCAAUCACUUCAUUUCUCUUCUUCCCGACUCCUACUAUGUUUUUAUAUCAAUAACAGUUUUGAUUAUUGUGGUUGCUGG